UACGUAGGGGGCAAGCGUUGUCCGGAAUUAUUGGGCGUAAAGCGCACGUAGGUGGUCUGUUAUGUCAGAUGUGAAAGCCCUCGGCUUAACUGAGGAAGUGCACCUGAAACUGGCAGGCUUGAGUACGAAAGAGGGUCGCGGAAUUCCCGGUGUAGAGGUGAAAUUCGUAGAUAUCGGGAGGAACACCGGUGGCGAAGGCGGCGACCUGGUUCGAUACUGACACUGAGGUGCGAAAGCGUGGGGAGCAAACAGG
rnacentral:rRNA from 1 species